UGAGCAGUUCUGGUAACCGCUGCGGUAUCGCGUCGUCGAUGUCGGGGAGGAAAGUCCGGGCUCCAUAGGGCAGGAUGCCGGGUAACGCCCGGUCGGCGCGAGCUGAAGGAAAGUGCCACAGAAAGCAAACAGCCCCGAGACGGACAACCAACAGGCAAAACACGCCAUGUUGGGCGUUUGUUCUCCGAGGGUAAUGGUGAAAAGGUAGGGUAAGAGCCUACCGGAUGCGGUGUGAAUCGCAUGCUUGGCAAACCCCAUCCGGAGCAAGAUCGAAUAGAGGGGAAAGAGGCGGCCCGCCGACCCCUGGGUCGAUCGCUUGAGGAACGUCGUAAGGCGUUUCGGAGAUAAAUGGUUACCUGAACACAGAACCCGGCUUACGAACUGCUCAUUAU
rnacentral:RNase_P_RNA from 1 species